CCGGCCUUACAACAACCAAACAAGUUUGACCUCAAAUC
rnacentral:rRNA from 1 species